rnacentral:tRNA from 1 species
GCGCCCGUAGUGUAGUGGAUAACACGUCAGCCUCCGGAGCUGAAGACCGCAGGUUCGAGUCCUGCCGGGCGCGCCA